UCGAGUUAGGGUCCUCUGGGCCCGACCUCCAACCCUUUGCUUACCGUACCUCUUGUUGCUUCGGCGGGCCCGUCUCCCUAUAAUAGGGGCUGACCGCCGGAGGGUUCACACCCUCUGGCCCGCGCCCGUCGGUGGCCUCAACCAAAACUAUUGUUAAAAACGUGUCGUCUGAAUUGAGAAAUCAAUAACUAA
rnacentral:misc_RNA from 1 species